GGGGGUAGUUUUUAGUACAUAUGCGCCAGGGAUGGCGAAUCGUGCAUGCUGCUACUAAGACCCAGCAGUAUCUUUCAAAGAUUUUCUACCUCC
rfam:Glossina palpalis gambiensis isolate 146720 unplaced genomic scaffold Scaffold227, whole genome shotgun sequence.